CUUGUACGCGUUGGACGCAGAAGUAAAAGAAAGAACUAACAGCGUGGAAAAUUUCCGUUCCGCUAGUGUAUCUCGUAACCGCACGUCUCGUCGUCGCCGUCGGGUUGAACUAACCAAGAAGUGUGGAAAGAGGUGUUCACAGGACAUAAAUAACGAAGCCGAGAUUGACUAUUUGCAUAUAGCAGCAUCAGUUGGCCCUCUGAAAGGAGGGAGAAGCAUCCUUUAGUGUAUUCGGUAACGUUUUUGUGAUGUACUAGUUACUAGCUAUUGCGGAUAGUGUUGUUGGCCCCACCCCACGAGAGCGCUCACAGGAAGGAAGAGCAAUUUUUGAAGUACAACGCAAGACGGAGGAAAAGUGGGUAUUUUUUCUGUUGAUUACCACCCAGUAGUCGGUUUUGGUUGCAUAAAAGGAUGUGUCUCGCUAGGAAAGAGUGUGUGUGUGUCCAGACAUAGCUAGUUGAGAGCCGUGGAGUGCCAGUGUCGUUAGGGAAAGGUUCACUUUGUGACGAGGUAUAGUUGCGUACUCGGUGGAGGAUUCCUUCCGGUGAAUACUACCGUUUAAUGCUUACAAGGAACGACACAACUAUGAGUUUUUAUCCCCAUUCACGGUGAAGAUUUCGCGAGAUAGUCACCCGAAUGCGUGUCCCCCCGGGACACAUUCGCACCCGUCAGUGUUUGUGUUGAAGAGUAAAUCCCAGCAUUACCAUCGUAAUCUUCGACUACAUCACGACCCUCACUACAAGUAGCAGCUCAAUGAGUAGAAAUAAUUUUCUAUAAAUAUAUUUCUGCCUGUUUCGACGGAUGCCACUCUGCUGGUUUUGGUCGUGUUUUAACGCUUUUUUCCUGCCGUCGGUGAAAACGGCAAACGCUCAAUGCUCACUCACCCAGCGAGCAAGAGAAUUUUGGUGCUCCCAAGAGUGCGUGAAAACGUCGUGGAAAUUCGCAACCGAGUGACGGCGGGAAGUGAAAAGAGGGUAUAAAACGUGAAGCGUGUUUUCCUUCGCAUGUGAUGUAGAGGAAAAAAGAUCUUCAACCAAAACCAUUAACAAUAAGCAAAGCGGAAAGCCCGUUUUAUUGUCUGUAGCGCUUUCAUUUUUCAAGCCGAGAUUUGCCGUUUUCACGUCCUGCAGAUUUCAUCUGAUUGAGUAAUUGACACGAGGAGGAAUGAAUUAUAAACAAACAAUUUUGAAAAAAAAACCCCACGGAAGUUCGGAAGGAUCACUCCGUUGAAUAGUGUGAAAAAAAUCAGUUAUUAGAAUAAUUGUUACAAGUGUAGUUAAUGUCAAAAUUAAACACAUAGAAAAUAGUAUCAAUAGUGUACGAGGUAUACACUUCGAGAUCGUACGAGCAAAUGAAGCGCAGGAGUGUUUAGAAGCCGGAAAAUCGAAAGUGAAAACUAGUACUCCGAAUACUAGCGCGAACGACACGAUCGUAUCCGGGACAUCACAGCGGCAGUUUUGAGUGACCCUGUGGGUAAUAGCAGCUGUAGUGGUUAACACCGAGACGAAACCCGUGUAGUUGUGUCCUCAUUCGUUCAUAGGAGCAAGCUAUAAAAAUGCCUACGGAGGCAAGUCCCCUCUGAUUGGGACUUCACAGUGGUCCGAGGGUGAAGCUGAAAAAGAAUACUAAUUACAAAAGUGUAAAAGCUGAAGGAUAACCGAAAGGCAAAGUUCCCAGAGCAAACAAGUAAUAAAAAAACAGCGCUCAGCCCCUCGGGAAGAAAGUCAGCGAAAAUGCAAACCUAAAGCGUGAAUGAUGAUAAUCAAAUAUUUGUAAAACGCUGUGAAAAUAUUGCUUGGCAGUUUUUUUUUCUUGCGUCAAAUGUGUUGUGGUGGUCGCUGAGAAAAACAUCAACAACAAACAACCGCGGUCCUCGUUUUCCGAGCUGCAGAGUGUGCGCGUGUGAGAAAAAGUUUUAUUGGUCGCCACGGAGCGAAUAUUGGCUCAAGAAUACUUGACAUCAGUUACCAGCAUCCAAAUCCAGCAUCCAUCGCGCUGAUCCAGGCAGCGUGCGUCGAAACAGCGAAAGGCAGCCUAUCAAAAUAUCGGGACGAACGACGCAACGUCACCCCCGCACCGUUGGCGGAUUGGAGGAUAAACAGACAAAAAAAAGGACGGUGUAAAAAAUAAACGUCCGAAAACAAUUUCAUAAAGUGAACAGAGGACUGCUUUCGGUGUUCGGUCGUGGAAUGUCGUUCGUGUUGAGCAGAGGGAGAACGAAGAGUAGAAUAAGCUUACAGACACCGUCAUUCAGUUGUGCUGGCUUAAAUAAAUAAUCAAGCUGAAAUAGGGCACAGCCGAAUACCGUAAAAGGGUAAAUAAGUGGUUAUAACGGAGAAGAACAACGCUAGUGUUGUAAAUUUUGUAAAAGAGAACGAGUGCCUGAGAAAGGACGCAUCUUUUUUGUGAAUGUACACAAGAGUUCAGAGAUAGGGUGAAGAACGGUAGGGCGAAGGUUCACACCAUUUCAACACCUUCAUUUCGUUUACAUAUCCUUCCUGCUGAAUCAACCGAGUACCGAAAGCCGUAAUGAUAGCAGACUAAGCCAUAGCAUUUGUACAUAUUAUUCCUCGGACGUAUCACCAGCUUUUCGACAUCACCACAAAUACCACACAUCAUUUCAAGACGCACAUUCUUCAAAGGGACAGCCAGAAGCCAGAGGAAUUUCCCCGAGCAGUUCAACAUGUCCCGCUCAACAUCAUCCACCCAGAGGAGGCACAGAUCAAGGUCAACCUCACGCUACGCGGACCUAGAGAAGCCCAAAAAGAAAAAGACACUCAGUUCCACCAGUCUCGUUUCCAUACCAAACACAAUUAAAUUAAGCAUGUUAAAUAGCGGUUUAAUUUCUUUAGAUAAAGUUAAACUAUCAGCCAGAGAUGAGAAAAAUCCGCUCUCGCAGACGAUGCCUGACAAACCGACGGAGCUGCGGCACAUUGUCAAGCUGUGCGAUCAGCGGCGUAAGUUUCCCAUCCUGUACAAGCUCGAAUUCCAGACGGCUGUGAAGGUGGAGACCAACACCUGCAGGCACGCGGUGCGCAAAGCCAAUACCCACAAGAACCAAAAUCCCAAAUGCAUUCCAUACGACUACAACCGGGUCGUGCUCGACAAGUACGAAAACAUCCCAGACUCCGACUACAUCAACGCGUCCUAUGUCGAUAGUUUACUGAAACCCAACGCAUAUAUCGUAACGCAGGGACCAACCGAGGAGACAGUGUUAGACUUUUGGCGGAUGGUGUGGCAGGAAAACUGCAGCGCGAUUGUGAUGCUAACGAAAACUUUUGAUUUUACCAAAGUUAUGUGUGUUCAGUACUGGCCCCCAAACCGGGAAAAAGAGGAAACCUACGGCGACAUUCACAUUAAAGUGCAAUCAGAAGAAGAGCUUGCGAAUUUUCACAUAAGAACGUUUAGGUUAUUUAAAGUGAACAAAGACAACGUAGUUACGGAGGAGCGUUUCCUGCUGCAAUUCCAUUACACCGAAUGGCAUUCACACACCUGCCCUUUCUCCAACGCAAUCCUCGAGUUCCGACGAAGGGUUCGCUCGGUCGUGGGGACAAUCAUCAAGGCGAAUAGUCAAGUUGGACCAAUGCUUGUGCAUUGCAAUGAUGGCGGAGGACGAUCUGGAGUGUACUUGGCAAUCGACGCUAACAUGGAGCUGGCGGAGGAGGAGGACGCGUUCCACGUGUUUGGCUAUCUGAAAAAGUUGCGACAAUCACGAAAGGGCCUUAUUGAAAACGUGGACCAAUACAAGUUCGUAUACGACACGCUGGAAGAGUUUGUGAUCUGUGGCAAUUCGUGGUUCCCGGUGAAGGAGCUCUCGCAACGACUGAAAGAGAAGAGUCUCAAGGAUCCGAUGACGAAAAUGAACGCUUACCAGCGGGAGUACGCACAGAUCUGCAAGCAGACGCCUCGGUUUACCAUCGGUGACUGCGCUGGUGGCCACCGUGGGGAUAACAGGGACAAGAAUCGGGACGUGCUGUGCGUACCACCUGACAAUUUCCGUCCUUACCUUACCUCUUUUCAGGGAAACUCAUUUACCGACUACAUUAACGCUGUAUUUGUAGACGGAUACACCAAACCUAGGGAGUACAUAGUGACGGAGUGGCCCCUACAGAAAACCUGCGGUGAGUUCUGGUCCCUAGUGUACGAUCACGAAUGUUCGGCGAUAGUGGUCCUGUGUCAACCACCUCAAAACUCUCAACAAUAUCCUGCCUUUUGGCCCGAAGGACGGCACCCGAAGAAGUACGGCCCGGUGUUCACGAUCGAUCACAUCUCGCACAACCACUACACCAACAUAAAAUCGUGGGUGUUUCGCAUUAACAAGAAAGUAAUCUCGUUGACUGAGCUGAUGGCCGGCGUGAAGGCACCCCCCAGAACGAUACAGCUUUUUCAGCUGAUAUGCUGGCCUAUGGGACACAAGGUACCAACGUCUACGAACUCGCUGGUGGAGCUGAUGAACAUGGUCGAACGGUGGCGACAGAAAACAGACUAUGGUCCAGUUUGCGUUGUGUCUCCUGAUGGCCGAAGUCGGGCUGGAGUCUACUGCGCGGCAAACGCUUGCAUCGAACAGGUCAUUCAGCACGGCGAGGUGGACGUAUUUCAGGCAGUGAAAACGGUCCGAAGGCACCGGCCCCAGCUGGUGGACAAUAUGACUGAGUAUAAAUACUGCUAUGAUUUAGUUUUACACUACGUUCUACACUACCUAAAUAAAGACUUGAAAGAAAAAAAGUGAGAAUGCGAUUUACACGAUGAUCUGUGGAAACGGUGAAUCGCAUUUUUAUCAUUUUUCCGUUUUUAGACGUUGUUAAUAUUUAUAUUUGAACUUAAUUUGUUUGAUUUUUUGGUUUAUUGAGUUUGGCCGGGGCAAAAGCAUCCCGCUAACCCCCGAGUACUCAAAUUCGGAACUCUCCAAAGAACUAUCGAACGCAGGUCGUGUCAUCGUGGAAAAAUCAAUCAGAAAACUACACAGA